GCGCACCACCACGCUGCUCGCGGUGCGCCUCCUGCUACCCUUUUUAUCGGCUCCCUCACGCCAUCGACCUCCUCUCAACUGCUCCCCACUUCGCUCCCCACUUCCCGCAGAGAUGCAUACAGGCCAUCACUUCUUGUCAUUGUGAGAAUCGACACGGCGCAGACGAAGGGGCAGUAACAGAACGCACACGCACUCUCUCCAUUUUUUAGUUCUUGCCAUUUUAUAGCAGCGUGCACUCUGCCGUUCCAAUGAGCAGCUACGUCCACCCGACACAGGUCUCCAUCGGCGCCGCCCCGCGCAUGGCGGUGCAGGAGACGCACCCGGAUGCGAAGCGCAAGGGUCGCCGAGUCGUGGCAACUAUGGAGCUGAAGCCCGGCAACGCGAUCUUCGCCGCCCCGCCGGACAUAGCCGUGCUCUACUCGCCUUUCGCACGCCACAUCUGCGCCCGGUGCCUUGUCGCCGACGUUCGCGCGUGCGCGGAGCCGCUGAAGGCACAUCACCACCAGCACCAGCACCCACAUCAGCAACCGCAUGCCACACUUUCCCGAUCCCCCGUUGGCGCGUCGUCUUCGCCGCCGUCAUCGUCCUCGUCGACCACCGCACCCGCCGCCGCCGCGGUGCGCCCCUACUGCUGCCCCAACUGCGACCAGUUCGUGCUCUGCGCACCGUGCGUGGCUCAGCUGCUGCUGGACAGCGGCGUGGAUGUGACGAGCUCUGCCGGCACGGACGCGGCCCAAACGGCCGGCCUCCUGCUGCAGCGACGCGGAGAGAGCAAAAGAGGUGGCAGUGUCGUGGAUGAGCGACUCCACCUUCACCCGCUCCUCCGCGCACACGCGAUAUCGUGUGCGUGGUACACCUCCCUCCCCGCCUCCAUCCGUGCACCGGGCAACGAUACUGACUUUCUACGCUUCUGCCUGGACUACGGCGCGCGUGCGUACCUCGGCGACACGGCCAUGAUGCGUGCCCUGGCGACACUCGACACGAACGCGAGCGUGCAGUCGAAGGAGUCGAUGCAGCUGUGUGAAGUUUUUGCGCGUGACCGCGUUGUGGCGACGUUCGGGAAGGAGCCGAAAGCCACCACCACCACCACCACCACCCUCGCCACCGCAGCAUCAGCAAAGUACAUGGGAAGUGAUCCUCUUUCGAAUCAGGCCGGCGCGCACGACUCCGGUGGCAUCCGCCGGGGUGGCAACAGUGAUGGCGUCCGUUGCCGUGGCAGUGCAGCUGUGGCUCCUUUUCCUCCACGCUACCCCAUUUCUUGGACAGACCUGCGCGACACACUCCUGCGCACCCGCUGCAACAGUAUCGGCUUCCCGUACAACACGGAAGAGACGACGGGGUGGUCGCUGCACCAGACGGUGUGCAUGCUGAACCACAGCUGCGUGCCUAACGCGGCUGUCAUCAUGCUGUACGACUCGGCGGACGCCAUGGCAGCGGCGGCGGCACUGGGAGCGCGCACCGGUGCCUCACACACCGCACUGCCGAAGGAGCGCACGCAGGAAGCGGCUCGUCGAAAAGCCAGCGAGCGCAUUGCUGCCUUCCGGGCUGUCGCGACUUCCUCGGAGUCGCCGUACUCCACAUCGUACUCGCCGUCGCUGGCCGGCUGGAUCGGCAUCGAAGCGACUCGACCCAUCGCCGCUGGCGAAGAAAUCACAAUCUCUUACGUGGAUCUUGGCAGCCUUGGCGACGACCUGCAGACGCGCUCGCGACACCUCCUGGAGCAGUACCGCUUCUUGUGCACCUGCGAGCUGUGCAUGCGCCAGCGUUCACAGAAACGGUGACGUGUAGAAGAGGGCGGACGCCUUCGUCACCUCCACGAGAGACGCUGAGAAGGGAAGAGAAGGGGGUUGGCAGGCGGCAGGGGUUCGCAGUACUGUCUCAGUUGUUGCGUGCACAGUGCGGCGCAUGUAUCGCUGCGCUCUACCCCAUUCGACUCCCUCUGCUGCUCUCCCCCUCAGCUCACACAUCCUCGUCUUCUCUGGCUUGCUGGAGGACACGAGCGCAUGUGUAGCCAUGCCUUCCUCAUCACGUCUCGGUGUCAUAGUCGUGUUCGGUGCCGUUCCGCCGGCACAGUGGGAGGGUGCCGAGUGGGCUGGCUGGUUAAGAGGGGUGGGGCUGUGUACGCCUGGUGGUGACGCGCUGCUGAAAACGACAAGGGACAGCGUGGAGGGAGAGAGCGAGAGUGGGAAGGGCAGGCGCCUCCCUCCCUCUCCCUCUAGCCCAAGCAACUAUAACGAAACUGUCGUGACUUAUGGAAAAUAAAGAUGGAUCGGGGACGCACAGGUGCGUACACAUGACUGUGCCAGGAAUGCGUCAUGGGAUAUGCAUGUAUAUCUGGUUGCGUGGUAGUGUGCGCAGGUGCCUCUCAGCGCGGGACCACGUGAGUGCCUGCGCUCGCGAGAGAAGGACUCUACGUCUUCCUCCCCCCAAGGACGGCUAAACCGGAGGCAGGAGGGCGGCGGCGGCCUCCGCAGCCUGCGUGCGCGGGGACCGCAGUCCGCAAGACCGUGCACGAGACUUUGUGCCUAUCCUUAGCGGCGGCGGCACGUCUUCCUCUUCUCCAUUGUCUUUCGAAUGCGUGCCGCCGGCCACUCUCUCUGACAUUCCCUUCAGCGCUCAAAACUCGCGAACCAUGCUUCGCAUCGCAUCACCGCUUGCUCUCGUGUAUUUUCGCCAGCGCCCCUCCUCACCACUUCUUCUCGCUCCCUCCCGUUCUGUCGCUCUUUCUGUCUGUCUUUGCCUCCUUUGGGAUAUCACUGGCUGCUACUGAUUACGCUCGCACGCUCGCUCUCACUCUCCUCACAUAUGUCCUGGCGGCUCGCGACAACAUCGCCCCCUUCCCCUCUCCGCUUUCCUACACGGUCAACUUCUUCCUCUCUCGGCGAUUAUGAUGUGCGUUGCAUGCGGGGAAG
rnacentral:misc_RNA from 1 species